CAGUUUUGUUUUGUGACAUCCUGAUUUGACAACAGCUUAACUUUUCAUUUUCUAACUUCUAUCCAAGUUAAUGGAAGCAGGCACAGUUCACUGUCAUGUCCAUUUCCCUAGAUUAGAAAAGUGCCUGGCAUAUAUUACAAGUUUAAUAAAUAAUAGUUGAUUAAAUACAUAAGGAGCCUGAAUGAGUAGUGCUACUGUGCGUGGGCUUGAUCUGCUUGCUGUACAACAGAAGAUAAUUAGUUAAAAGGAAUGAGAAUGACAGAGAAAGACCCUUAUUACAACAAAGCAGUUGACUGGAAAAUGGAAGGCAGUCUCCCUAUAAGGGCCAUUUUGCAAAGAGGCUGAGUCAGAGGCAGUGUGUAUCAGACAUGCGAUCUCAGACUAUUGGGCGCUCCUUACAGACAGAUGUUUAUGACCCGAUGACACAUAACUACAUUGUUUCUCAGUUCUGCAAGCUCAAGUACAGAGAUCAUGAGUUUCUCAGGCCAAUUUUGUCCAUGCUGCAUUCGCCUAUUUGCAAUUCCUGACAUAUUACACAGUGGACAGGAUGGAGCAAGCAGCUGCCCUCAGGCACCAUGGCUGACCAACAACCUCAAGGUGAAACUGCAGAAGUUGAAGAUAUGGCCCCCACCAAACUUUGGCCUAGUACCUGCUGCUGAGUCAGAAUACAUCUUGGGACAGAAGAUGCUAGAAGCAAAUAUUUUGAAAUGUCUGAAAGCAAAGCUGUGUCCCUGGUAGAUAUAGGUGGAGAAGGUGGAGGAUGCAGUCUAUCGCCGAGUCUCUCUUCCAUCAGUCUUCCUAGUUCUCAGGCUUCUCUGAUAAUGUAACCGGAUGGAAGCAUAUGAAGAUGUCAGUCUUUUUAUGUGACUGCCCCAUGUGGUGGAUUAAUGCCUUUCCUGAUGCUGGUGGGAUGUCCUAAGAAUCCCAUUUGGUGUGUUUAAUUUCCUUGGGCAUUUACCUUUGUUCAAGUCAUUUCUGUUACUGACAUCCCUUUAGGAGAAAGCUUACUCCCACCAGCACAUACUGGUAUCAGACAGCCUAUCCAUUGGUUCAAAAAAUGCCUAGGCAUCCUCAAACCUUCUCUGUUUUAUAUUUUGUAAAGGUGAACUGUUUUGUUAAUGCUCUAGGUGCUGUGGAACAUUGAGGCCAGGUACCCAGGAAGGUUGUCAAAUCCCUUAAGGUCUGUUGCUAUGAAUUGUUACAGUUGAUUCUAAACAGCCAAAGCCAGGAACAGUCACCAUCAUGUACAUUCAGAAGAACCUACAAAUUUUAAAGGGUUUGAUGAGCCUCCUAUUUCCUUCCCUCUACAGUUGCUAAAACCGACCAAAACCUAACAACAGAGCCUUCCUUUGGAGGUCUGAAACUCUCCUCUGAGAACCCUUUAUGCUCCUCCCUGGGACAUCGCCCAAAGAACUUAGAGGUUCUGUAGUCCUCAGGACUCCAGCCAGGGGAACAAUUGUCAAUACUUCACAU
rnacentral:lncRNA from 1 species